rnacentral:rRNA from 1 species
UGGGAAUAUUGGACAAUGGGCGCAAGCCUGAUCCAGCCAUGCCGCGUGAAGUGAUGAAGGCCCUAGGGUUGUAAAGCUCUUUCAACGGUGAAGAUAAUGACGGUAACCGUAGAAGAAGCCCCGGCUAACUUCGUGCCAGCAGCCGCGGUAAUACGAAGGGGGCUAGCGUUGUUCGGAUUUACUGGGCGUAAAGCGCACGUAGGCGGAUCGUUAAGUGAGGGGUGAAAUCCCGGGGCUCAACCCCGGAACUGCCUCCAAAACUAUUGGUCUAGAGUUCGAGAGAGGUGAGUGGAAUUCCAAGUGUAGAGGUGAAAUUCGUAGAUAUUUGGAGGAACACCAGUGGCGAAGGCGGCUCACUGGCUCGAUACUGACGCUGAGGUGCGAAAGUGUGGGGAGCAAACAGGAUUAGAUACCCUGGUAGUCCAACGCCGUAAAACGAUGAGUGCUAGAUGUUGGGAUUUUUCGGAUUUCAGUGUCGCAGCUAACGCAUU